GACAGAGGGUGCAAACGUUGCUCGGAAUUACUGGGCGUAAAGCGCGUGUAGAUGGACUGGUGUGUCAGAUGUGAAAUCCCUGGGCUCAACCCAGGAACUGCACCUGAAACUACCAGCCUUGAGUGGUGGAGAGGGAAGUGGAAUUCCUGGUGUAGAGGUGAAAUUCGUAGAUAUCAGGAGGAACACCAGUGGCGAAGGCGGCUUCCUGGACACCAACUGACGCUGAGACGCGAAAGCGUGGGGAGCAAACAGG
rnacentral:rRNA from 1 species